GCAGAGUAGGUUUGCGUGCGUUAAGUGUCUGCUGAACAGGGAGUUGUCAGCGGGACGAAAAGAACGGACAGCUUUUCCGGAAAUGGAGAGGCGGAGCCGUAUCUUGCGGUACGCAGGCCGCAUCCCGCUGC
rnacentral:ncRNA from 1 species